ACACAGGGUCAGGUUUGCCAGUUGAUGCAAAAUAUGAAUGGACUGAUCUAAAGGAAGCUCUGUCACCCAUUGACAAGGCUCAUCAAUUUGGCACUGAAUUUCUCCAGGCUUUGGAUUCAAAGUUGAGCAUACUAGCUAAAGAUGCCAAAGAAGUGGAGAUUGUGACUGCAGGCGACGAAGCCCACAACGUGACUGCAGGCGACGAAGCCCACAA